UAAUUUCUAUGUUACAAUCCUAAAUCUACAAUAGUUCUCUAUAUAAAUGAAAAAUUUCCAAAAACAGGAGGUUUUUUAAAAAUUAUUUAAAAAGUGCAACCUAUUGAUAAAUUUUUUGAAAGAAUACUAAUCUAUUAACAAAAAUUCAUGUUAUACUAAUUUCUAAGUCAAACUAUUGAUGAAAUUUUGUGAGAGAAUACUCAUCUAUCAACAAAAUUUUGUGACAGAAUACUAAUUUCUAAGUCACAAUCCCAAAUCUACAAUAGUUCUCUAUAGAAAUAAAAUUUUUCCAAAAAUAGCAGAUUUCGUAAAAAUUAUUGAGAAAAUGCAACCUAUUAAUGAAAAAUUCUGAAAAAUACUCAUCUAUAAAAGAAAAUUCUUGUUAUCCUAAUUUCAAAGUAACAACCUCAAAUCUACAAUAGUUCUCUAUACAAAUGAAAACUUUCCAAA
rnacentral:lncRNA from 1 species